rnacentral:rRNA from 1 species
GAAUCUUGGACAAUGGGCGCAAGCCUGAUCCAGCCAUGCCGCGUGAGUGAUGAAGGCCCUAGGGUUGUAAAGCUCUUUCGGCGGGGAAGAUAAUGACGGUACCCGCAGAAGAAGCCCCGGCCAACUACGUUCCAGCAGCCGCGGUAAUACGAAGGGGGCUAGCGUUGCUCGGAAUCACUGGGCGUAAAGCGCACGUAGGCGGAUCAUUAAGUCGGGGGUGAAAUCCCGGAGCUCAACUCCGGAACUGCCUUCGAUACUGGCGAUCUUGAGUCCGGGAGAGGUGAGUGGAACUGCGAGUGUAGAGGUGAAAUUCGUAGAUAUUCGCAAGAACACCAGUAGCGAAGGCGGCUCACUGGCCCGGUACUGACGCUGAGGUGCGAAAGCGUGGGGAGCAAACAGG